GCUUGUCUCAAAGAUUAAGCCAUGCAUGUCUAAGUAUAAACAACUUUAUACAGUGAAACUGCAGAUGGCUCAUUAAAUCAGUUAUAAUUUAUUUGAUGAUUAACUUUACUACAUGGAUAACCGUAGUAAUUCUAGAGCUAAUACAUGCGAAAAGUCCUGACUUCUUCGUGAGGGAGGGAUGUAUUUAUUAGAUACAAUCAAACGCACCAACAUAAAACCUUGGUGAUUCAUAAUAACUUUCGGAUCGAUUUAUCGAUGCAUCAUUCAAGUUUCUGCCCUAUCAGCUUUGGAUGGUAGGGUAUUGGCCUACCAUGGCUUUAACGGGUAACGGAGAAUUAGGGUUCGAUUCCGGAGAGGGAGCCUGAGAAAUGGCUACCACAUCCAAGGAAGGCAGCAGG
rnacentral:rRNA from 1 species